ensembl:lncRNA
UUUAGUUGAAAAGUUCUGCUUCUACAAAGGACACAAUUAUACAAUUGGUGAAACGUGGAGAGAUGCUGAAAAGCCGUGUGUGUCGUUCACGUGCAGCGCUGAAGGAAUCCAGAAUGAAACGAGAGUGUGUCCGUCACAUCACUGCCCCGAGGAGGACAGGAUUUGGGACGAGCAGCGCUGCUGUUUCACCUGCAGAGGCGUCUGUCGCUGUGCUCCUGUGAUGACCACUCUGAGUGUUUAUGUGGAGCAGUGUUUCUCUGAGCUGCAGGUCCCCGUGUGUGACGGCCUCUGCCACAGCCAGCACAGGGUGGUGCUGUCUGGAGAUCUGCAGGUGAAGCAGAGCAGCAGCUGUUGCAGAGACACGAGCUCAGUGCCCAGAGCAGUGACCCUCCAGUGCUCUGACCGCACCAACCGCACCUACACCUACUCCCACAUCACCCGCUACCCAGGCGUUAGCAGCACCUUACAG